UACCACUUGAGCCACAUGCUCCACUUUUGGCUUUUUGGUGAUUAAUUGGAGAUAAGAGUCUCAAGGACCUUCCUGCUUUGACUGGCUUUGAGUCUUGAACCUCAGACCUCAAGCUUCUGAGUAACUAACAUUACAGGUGUGAGCCACUGGCAUCUGGCUAACAAUGUCAAAUUUUAAACUCUACUUUUUGGGUAAGAUCAGCUACAAAAAGCUACUAAUAACCCAAGUAGUCCCUGUGAGCAAGAAAUUCUAUAGAAGUCUCCCAUUUAUACUUAAGAUUCUGGCCAUACUUGCAAAUCAUGUCAUGUUUGUUUUCAGACAUGAGUUUCCAUAAAAAUUCUAAAGGCAGCACAGGUACUGUAGGAAGAUAUACAGAAUUUGUCUGUAGCUCUGGAAAUCCCUGGUAUGAGGUAACAGCUCAGCAGCUAAGAACACGCAGUUUAAAAAGCAUUAGGUCAUGCUGUAGCAAAAUACAGAGUUUGGAGGCCAGACAGGGAGGGUGAAAAUUCUGGUGCUCUCACUUAAGGUAAAACAAUUAUAAUCCUAACCAUCAUUCCUAAAACAGAUAUUAAGGGCAAAGCACAUGAUUAAGCACAUUACAUAUUCCUAGUCUCAAAACUAAACUUAAGAAGCAAGUCUUAUAAUCUUCAUUUUAUAAAUAAAGACAUUGAGGGUUAGGGACACUCACUGUUUUACGUGGUCACAGAGCUAACAAACUUCCCUCUGAAGAAUUGAUACCUAGGCCUUUCUGUCUAUAAAGCCCUUCUCCUUUUUAUUAGCUUCCCACUUACCCUUUGCCAGCCCUCAAUUUUCUCAUUCAUAAAACAGAGUAAUGAUGCUUCCUUGAAGAAGCUUAAUAAUUUAAGAUGUCUUAGAUAAUGCUCAUGAUGCAAUAAACUCAGCACAAAUGCUAACUCAUCUUAACUUUUCAAAAAGAAUUGAAGGACAAGUUAGAUUUAGUAAAUAAAAACUCACUGUAUUAUAAUGAGAAAGUAUGGUAAAAUGGAGUCGAGAAAACAACACACUGCAGAGAUUAAGGCCAGGUGCUGGUGGCUCCUGACUGGAAUGCCAGCUACUCAAGGAAGUUACGAUCAGAGGACUGCAGUUUGAGCCAGCCCAAGCAGGAAGGUCUGUCUGACUCUGAUCCCAAAUUAAUACU